rnacentral:rRNA from 1 species
CAGAGAGAAGCAAUACCGCGAGGUGGAGCAAAACUUCAAAAAUAGGUCUCAGUUCGGACUGUAGGCUGCAACUCGCCUACACGAAGUUGGAAUUGCUAGUAAUCGUGGAUCAGCAUGCCACGGUGAAUACGUUCCCGGGUCUUGUACACACCGCCCGUCACACCAUGGGAGCUGGUAACACCCGAAGUCAGUAGUCUAACCGCAAGGAGGACGCUGCCGAAGGUGGGAUUAGCGACUGGGGUGAAGUCGUAACAAGGUAAC